AAACUAACAAGGAUUCCCCUAGUAACGGCGAGUGAAGCGGGAAGAGCUCAAAUUUAAAAUCUGGCAGGCUACGCUUGUCCGAAUUGUAAUCUCGAGAAGUGUUUUCCGCGUUGGCCUGUGUACAAGUCCCUUGGAACAGGGCGUCAUAGAGGGUGAGAAUCCCGUCCUUGACACAGACACCCAAUGCUUUGUGAUACACUCUCAAUGAGUCGAGUUGUUUGGGAAUGCAGCUCAAAAUGGGUGGUAAAUUCCAUCUAAAGCUAAAUACUGGCGAGAGACCGAUAGCGAACAAGUACCGUGAGGGAAAGAUGAAAAGCACUUUGGAAAGAGAGUCAAACAGUACGUGAAAUUGUUGAAAGGGAAACGAUUGAAGUCAGUCGUGCCUGCCUAGAUUCAGCCUUCUGGUGUAUUUCUAGGUCGGCAGGUCAGCAUCAGUUUGGGGGGGUUAACAAGGGAGCUGGGAAUGUGGCAACCUCGGUUGUGUUAUAGCCCAGUUUCGCAUUGAUCUCGCUGGACUGAGGAACGCAGUGCGCCCGCAAGGGUUGGUCUUCGGACACAUUCGCACUUAGGAUGCUGGCAUAAUGGCUUUAAACGAC
rnacentral:rRNA from 1 species